rnacentral:rRNA from 1 species
GCCCGAUUAGCUUGUUGGCGAGGUAACGGCUCACCAAGGCUUUGAUCGGUAGCCGGUCUGAGAGGAUGGCCGGCCACACUGGAACUGAGACACGGUCCAGACUCCUACGGGAGGCAGCAGUGGGGAAUCUUGCGCAAUGGGCGAAAGCCUGACGCAGCGACGCCGCGUGGGGGAUGAAGCUUUUCGGAGUGUAAACCCCUUUCGACCGGGACGAAUGCCUCGCAAGAGGAGUGACGGUACCGGUAUAAGAAGCCCCGGCUAACUACGUGCCAGCAGCCGCGGUAAGACGUAGGGGGCCAGCGUUGCUCGGAAUAACUGGGCGUAAAGGGUCUGUAGGCGGUGCGGCAAGUCGGGAGUGAAAUUUCUGGGCUUAACCCAGGGACUGCUUCCGAAACUGCCGUGCUCGAGUGCGAGAGAGGUGAGUGGAAUUGCAGGUGUAGCGGUGAAAUGCGUAGAUAUCUGCAGGAACACCCGUGGCGAAAGCGGCUCACUGGAUCGCAACUGACGCUGAGAGACGAAAGCUAGGGGAGCA